UACGUAGGGGGCGAGCGUUGUCCGGAAUCAUUGGGCGUAAAGAGCGUGUAGGUGGACUGGAAGGUCUGGUGUGGAAAACCCGGGGCUCAACCCCGGAGGGUCACUGGAAACCAACAGUCUUGAGUCCGGAAGAGGAGAGUGGAAUUCCGUGGUGUAGCGGUGGAAUGCGCAGAUAUCAGGAGGAACACCAAUGGCGAAGGCAGCUCUCUGG
rnacentral:rRNA from 1 species